GAGUUUGAUCGUGGCUCAGGAUGAACGCUGGCGGCGUGCUUAACACAUGCAAGUCGAACGAAGCACUUUGGACAGAUUCUUCGGAUGAAGUCCUUAGUGACUGAGUGGCGGACGGGUGAGUAACGCGUGGGUAACCUGCCUCAUACAGGGGGAUAACAGUUAGAAAUGGCUGCUAAUACCGCAUAAGCGCACGGUACUGCAUGGUACAGUGUAGAAAAACUCCGGUGGUAUGAGAUGGACCCGCG
rnacentral:rRNA from 1 species